UACGAAGGGGGCUAGCGUUGUUCGGAAUCACUGGGCGUAAAGCGCGCGUAGGCGGAUUGUUAAGUCGGGGGUGAAAUCCCGAGGCUCAACCUCGGAACUGCCUUCGAUACUGGUAAUCUUGAGUCCGGGAGAGGUGAGUGGAACUCCUAGUGUAGAGGUGAAAUUCGUAGAUAUUAGGAAGAACACCAGUGGCGAAGGCGGCUCACUGGCCCGGAACUGACGCUGAUGUGCGAAAGCGUGGGGAGCAAACCGG
rnacentral:rRNA from 1 species